GUGCGUGGCGUGGAGUCCAGAAUGAGAAGAAGGAAAGCGGGGCCGGUUCCUUCAGGACCCGCCUCAGGGGGCACCGCGGCGGCUUGGGGACCACUUGGAGCCCCGUCCUGGGGAGAAAACAGCUCACGUCUAUGGCCCUGACUGCUUAGGCGGGAGCUGCGUGCAGCUCAGCUUCUCCGGGGCAUUUUUUUCUACACGGUUAUUGCUCUGUCACCCAGGCUGGAGUUCAGCAGUGCGAUCUUGGCUCAUUGCAGCCUUGAACCUCCCGGGCUCAAGUGAUCCUCCCUCCUCAACCUCCCAAGUAGCUGGGACUACAGCUGGGUGAGCUAUGAACAGGCCAACUGCAAGGGCGAGCAGUUUGUGUUUGAGAAGGGCGAGUACGCCCACUGGGACUGGUGGACCAGCAGCCAGAGGACAGACUCAGCAGCCUGAGGCCCAUCAAAGUGGACAGCCAAGAGCACAAGAUCAUCCUCUAUGAAAACCCCAACUUCACCGGGAAGAAGAUGGAAAUCAUAGAUGACGAUGUACCCAGCUUCCACGCCCAUGGCUACCAGGAGAAGGUGUCAUCUGUGUGGGUGCGGAGUGGCAUGUGGGUUGGCUACUAGUACCCUGGCUACCGUGGGCUGCAGUACCUGCUGGAGAAGGGAGACUACAAGGACAGCAGCGACUUUGGGGCCCGUCACCCUCAGGGACAUGGAUGAAGCUGGAAACCAUCAUUCUCAGCAAACUAACACAGAAGCAGAAAACCAAACACCACAUGUUCUCACUCAUAAGUGGGAGUUGAACAGUGAGAACACAUGGACACAAGGAGGGGAACAUCACACACCGAGGCCUGUCAGGGAGUGGGGGACAAGAGGGAGAGAGAGCAUUGGGACAAAUACCAAAUGCAUGCACGGCUUAAAACCUAGAUGACAGGUUGAUGGGUGCAGCAAACCACCAUGGCACAUGUAUACCUGUGUAACAAACCUGCACGUUCUGCACAUGUAUCCCAGAACUUAUAAUAAAAAAGAAACCAGUAAGUGCUCAAUAAAUGUUACUAACAUCUAUUUCUUCAUUCAUUCUUCAACCAUUACCCACUGAGUGCCUAUUUGGAUACUUGGCUUAGUACCUGGGUGAUGAAAUAAUCUACAGCAAACCCCCAUGGCAUGAGUUUAUAACAAACCUGCACAUGUAUCCCCGAACUUAAAAGUUAAAAAAACAGAAUCUGCACAAGUCUAAGCUACUUCCUUGAGGAAAAGACUCGAGCUGAGAUCUCAAAGAAGAGUAGAAGUUGCAGGGGUAAAGAGGCCAAAGAAGAGUGUCUCAGAUGAGAGCGGCACGUGCAAAGGCCCUGUGGUGGGAGGAGCCUGGUAGCUCUGAGAAACUCCACAAAGGCACGGUGGUGGCUGGAAUGCAGAGAUGUGGGGGCACAUUGAAAACCUUGUUAAAGUGCUUAAAAUGAUUAUCAUAAAGGUAGAAACUAAUAAGUGCUAAAUAAAUGUUAUUCUCGUCCGUUUCUCCA